rnacentral:lncRNA from 1 species
CCCACAUAACUAUUAAUUUUUAAAAGAAGUUUAUAAGAUAAAGAACAAAGUAUAGCACCCAAAUAUUCAGGAAAAGAAAACUCAUCAUAGAUCUCUUCUCCUGCUCAUUUACAAUGACUUCUCCAACACAGCUAGAUUCAUUGCACUCUUUACUUGUUGCUUCUAUUUCUAUAUAAGCACUGUGCAUUACUCACUCAAUAAUCAUCAUCCGGCAACUUAUUUCCAACUCUUGGAUAUAAGAAAGACCUUUGAUUAUAUUGAACAAAUAUAGCUACCACAAACAGAGACAAAAUCAGCAAUUUUUCAGCAUCAGAGACAUAAUUAAACUAAUAACCCCGUGUACAUGAAGAGAAUCCAUAACCACAGUCUGAACCAGAAUAAUUAAAACAGGUCAAAAGAAACAUCAGGAGCUGGAAAUGUUCCUACAGUUGUGUAUCAGCCGGUCAUUUACUCACUACAGAAGAGCAUUUCAACAUCUUAUGUCAUUGUGUUGCUAAUUAAGGCCAAAUCUAUCGAAAAUAUAACAAAAAGAUUUCAUCUUGCAAAACAAAAUAGAAGAUCUGUGAGAAAUUAGGAUGAUGAAAUCGCAGCAAACAGAUCCGUAAAAUCCCAAUCAAAACACAAAACAGAUCAAGCAUAAACUCAAGGAGGCAAAUAAGAAAACAAACCUGAGCAGCUUUGUAGGGAUAACUUCCUUUGAAUUAUGUUCAGCACCCGUCUUGAACUCGGCCAAAUAUCAGGGAUAACUCCUUUGAAUUUUUCGGGUUUAAAACACUAAUUAGAAUCACCAGAAAAAAAUAAGGAAAUAAGAGAUUUCUAACAUAUAAUCAUACCUUUAGACCACUUAAAUUUCAGCAAACCAACCAAUAUUAAGCUGUUAGAAAUAGGUGAAGAAAGUAAGCACUGGGAUUCAGAAAAAAAAGGAUAUGUGAGAAUUUGAAGUAAUUUCCUAAAGACAACUUGGAGGCCGCUACUAGAAAGAAGAAU